UACGAAGGGGGCUAGCGUUGCUCGGAAUCACUGGGCGUAAAGGGUGCGUAGGCGGGUUUUUAAGUCAGGGGUGAAAUCCUGGAGCUCAACUCCAGAACUGCCUUUGAUACUGAAGAUCUUGAGUCCGGGAGAGGUGAGUGGAACUGCGAGUGUAGAGGUGAAAUUCGUAGAUAUUCGCAAGAACACCAGUGGCGAAGGCGGCUCACUGGCCCGGUACUGACGCUGAGGCACGAAAGCGUGGGGGAGACAAAGCAGGA
rnacentral:rRNA from 1 species